ACGUAGGGUGCGAGCGUUAAUCGGAAUUAUUGGGCGUAAAGCGUGCGCAGGCGGUUGAUUAAGACAGGCGUGAAAUCCCCGGGCUUAACCUGGGAACUGCGUUGGAGACUGGAAAACUAGAGUGCAGAAGAGGAAAGUGGAAUUCCAUGUGUAGCGGUGAAAUGCGCAGAGAUAUGGAGGAACACCAGUGGCGAAGGCGACUUUCUGGUCUGUAACUGACGCUGAUGUGCGAAAGCGUGGGGAUCAAACAG
rnacentral:rRNA from 1 species